CUUACCAAAGAAAAGAGCAGCAAGAAGAAUCCACAGCCAAUGUUCCAUCUGUACAACAAGGUUUCAAUCAACAGGAGAAACUAGCUGAUGUUCAACAUUCACUCUGACAAUUGUUCUCUUCACAGCACCACUUCUUAUUGACUGAAUGUUGAACACAGAGCAGGAGGAGAGCCCCGCCCACUUCACUAUGUCACCCUCUAGUGGAGGAAUAGAAGAUGACUUUAGAAGAAGAGUUAAAUGCUUCAUGUCUUCUGGGGGGGUUCACAAAAAAAUUUUCAGUCUGAACCACUCAAACACAUUUUCACUCUGGACAUAAUGUCUGAUAGUUGUAGGUAAAUUAGGAUGUAUUUUAGCCAUAAUACUUUAAAGCAUUGCAUAUUAUACUUUAAAAAGAGAGGUUCAAGCUCUUCAUUAGAUUUGAUUAGGAAGCUAAUCUGACUAGCAAAUAACAGUCAAAGGAUUUACCUUUACAUCAAUCCUCAGCAGUGCAAGACAGUUGCUGUUUUUGUGAAAAUGUGUAAUCCUUAUUGUUUAACAUUUAUUUUAAUAUACUGGGCUGCACGGUGGCGCAGUGGUUAGCGCUCUCGCCUGGAUUAUUAUACUUCUAAAUAACACAUGUAACAAUUUUCUUUGUAAAAAAAUGAAAAAAAAAAAAAAAAAACUAAAUAGAAAUAAAUAACAUGCAACAUGCAUGCUUUGGUGAAAUAUUUCCAAAAAGGUGGCUAAUUUUAAUUACUGGACACUUUACAUUUGGCACCUCACUUAGUUUAAUGCAUAUUUGCUAAAAGAGACCAAAGAUUUAAUACGUUUUUAUUAAAAGCUGUGGACAACCUUUGUGGUCUUUAUUAAUACCCUCAAGGCUUUUACAUGGUUUCUAUGCAAAAAUCUCAAAAAUACUUUUAAAUACGAGACUCAUUAAUGGCAGUACUUCAUGAAAAAA